GAUGAACGCUGGCGGCGUGCUUAACACAUGCAAGUCGAACGAAGCACUUUAUUUGAUUUCCUUCGGGACUGAUUAUUUUGUGACUGAGUGGCGGACGGGUGAGUAACGCGUGGGUAACCUGCCUUGUACAAGGGGAUAACAGUUGGAAACGGCUGCUAAUACCGCAUAAGCGCACGGCAUCGCAUGAUGCAGUGUGAAAAACUCCGGUGGUAUAAGAUGGACCCGCGUUGGAUUAGCUAGUUGGUGAGGUAACGGCCCACCAAGGCGACGAUCCAUAGCCGACCUGAGAGGGUGACCGGCCACAUUGGGACUGAGACACGGCCCAAACUCCUACGGGAGGCAGCAGUGGGGAAUAUUGCACAAUGGGCGAAAGCCUGAUGCAGCGACGCCGCGUGAGCGAAGAAGUAUUUCGGUAUGUAAAGCUCUAUCAGCAGGGAAGAUAAUGACGGUACCUGACUAAGAAGCACCGGCUAAAUACGUG
rnacentral:rRNA from 1 species